UGGGGAAUAUUGGACAAUGGGCGAAAGCCUGAUCCAGCCAUGCCGCGUGUGUGAAGAAGGUCUUCGGAUUGUAAAGCACUUUAGGUUGGGAGGAAGGGCAUUAACCUAAUACGUUAGUGUCUUGACGUUACCGACAGAAUAAGCACCGGCUAACUCUGUGCCAGCAGCCGCGGUAAUACAGAGGGUGCAAGCGUUAAUCGGAAUUACUGGGCGUAAAGCGCGCGUAGGUGGUUCGUUAAGUUGGAUGUGAAAUCCCCGGGCUCAACCUGGGAACUGCAUUCAAAACUGUCGAGCUAGAGUAUGGUAGAGGGUGGUGGAAUUUCCUGUGUAGCGGUGAAAUGCGUAGAUAUAGGAAGGAACACCAGUGGCGAAGGCGACCACCUGGACUGAUACUGACACUGAGGUGCGAAAGCGUGGGGAGCAAACA
rnacentral:rRNA from 1 species